GACGUAGGGGGCGAACGUUAUCCGGAAUUAUUGGGCGUAAAGGGUGCGUAGGUGGUCUGAUAAGUUAUCAGUGGCAAAUCGAGGCUCAACCUCGUGGAAACUGGUAAUACUGUCCGGCUUGAGUGCAGGAGAGGUUAAUGGAACUCUAUGUGGAGCGGUAAAAUGCACAGAUAUAUAGAAGAACAUCAAUAACGGCGAAGGCAGUUAACCAUUCUGUUACUGACACUGAGGCACGAAAGCGUGGGGAGCAAAACGG
rnacentral:rRNA from 1 species